UGACCUCGGAUCAGACGUGAUUACCCGCUGAAUUUAAGCAUAUUAUUAAGCGGAGGAAAAGAAACUAACAAGGAUUCCCCUAGUAACGGCGAGUGAACGGGGAAGAGCCCAACACCGAAUCCCUUGGCGCAAGUCAACGGGAAAUGUGGUGUUAAGGUAGCCCUUCGUGUCAGUCUAGGCGUCUCAAGUCCACCUGAUUGUGGCUCAAGCCCAGAGAGGGUGUAAGGCCCGUAGAGACGCUCCGACUGAUUCCUGGGGUUUACCUACGAGUCGGCUUGUUUGGGAAUGCAGGCCAAAGCGGGUGGUAAACUCCAUCCAAGGCUAAAUACUGGCACGAGUCCGAUAGCGGACAAGUACCGUGAGGGAAAGUUGAAAAGAACUUUGAAGAGAGAGUUCAAUAGUACGUGAAACCGCUUAGAGGCAAACGGAUGGUGCUCAUACUGGCCUGAGGAAUUCAACUGUGACGGUGGCUGGACGAGCUGGCGUUCCGAUCUCUCUUUUGGGACGGGCGUCGGUUUGGCUAUCAGCUCUGACAUGGUGCACUUUCCUUGGUGCCUCCGCCACGACCGACGACACUGGCUACCCGCGGCUGGGGUAAGGUGACAAACUGCUUCGGCAAUUUGUGUUAUAGACCCCGGCGUCGGACAUGGUUUGGCCAGGACGUCGAGCUUGCGGCGCCCGCUCCUUGUGGGCUCGCAUGUUGGCUAGCUUGGCUGCGCCGAUGCUUGCACUGGACAACCAGUACAGGUGACGGUUGUGGUCUUGUCUCUAGUUGGCCUCUGCGAGUUUGGCGCCUAUAGUCUGUGGUGUACUUGUGGGUAGACUAUCCGACCCGUCUUGAAACACGGACCAAGGAGUCUAACAUGUGCGCGAGUCAUGGGGAUUCUACGAAACCCAAAGGCGCAGUGAAAGUAAAGGCCUGCUUCUCGUAGGCUGAGGUGGGAUCUCGUGCAUCGCGAUUGGCGAGCGCACCACCGGCCCGUCCUAUCUGUCUCUGUCAGUGGGGCGGCGCAAGAGCGUACACGUUGGGACCCGAAAGAUGGUGAACUAUGCUUGCGCAGCUCGAAGUCAGUGGAAACACUGAUGGAGGAGCGCAGCGUUUCUGACGUGCAAAUCGAUCGUCAAACGUGAGUAUAGGGGCGAAAGACUAAUCGAACCAUCUAGUAGCUGGUUCCCUCCGAAGUUUCCCUCAGGAUAGCUGGCACUCGGGAAACAGUUUUAUCCGGUAAAGCGAAUGAUUAGAGGCAUUGGGGUCGAAACGACCUCGACCUAUUCUCAAACUUUAAAUGGGUAAGAUGCUCGUCUCGCUUAAUUGGAGGCGGGCUUCACCUCUCUAACGUGAAUGUGAGUGCCCAGUGGGCCAUUUUUGGUAAGCAGAACUGGCGCUGUGGGGAUGAACCAACACGCCGCCGGUUAAGGCGCCCAAUGCGGACGCUCAUGCAGACACACCACAAAAGGUGUUGGUCGAUACUGACAGCAGGACAACGGUGGCA
rnacentral:ncRNA from 1 species